GACGAACGCUGGCGGCGUGCCUAAUACAUGCAAGUCGAACGCAGUGGGGACGGGUGAGUAAAACGUGGGUAACCUCCCAUCAGAGGGGAUAACACUUGGAAACAGGUGCUAAACCGAUACUGAUUGAUGGAACCGCGGUGCAUUUUCUAGUUGGUGAGGUAACGGCUCACAAAGGCCACGAUGCAUAGCAGACCUGAGAGUGUGACCGGCCAAACGGGAACUGAGACACGGCCCAGACUCCUACGGGAGGCAGCAGUAGGGAAUCGUCGGCAAUGGACGAAAGUCUGACCGAGCAACGCCGCGUGAGUGAAGAAGGUUUUCGGAUCGUAAAACUCUGUUGUUAGAGAAGCGGUAUCUAACCAGAAAGCCACGGCUAACUACGUGCCAGCAGCCGCGGUAAUUC
rnacentral:rRNA from 1 species